CUACGGGAGCUGCAGUCGAGAAUCUUCCGCAAUGGACGAAAGUCUGACGGAGCGACGCCGCGUGCGGGAUGAAGGCCUUCGGGUUGUAAACCGCUGUCAGUGGGGAGGAAAUGUAUCAGGGUUCUCCCUGGUGUUUGACCGAUCCGCAGAGGAAGCGCAGGCUAAGUUCGUGCCAGCAGCCGCGGUAACACGAACUGCGCGAACGUUAUUCGGAAUCACUGGGCUUAAAGAGUUCGUAGGCGGCCUUUCAAGUCGGGUGUGAAAUCCCUCGGCUCAACCGAGGAAUUGCGCCUGAUACUGUUGGGCUUGAGGGGGAUAGGGGUGAGCGGAACUGAUGGUGGAGCGGUGAAAUGCGUUGAUAUCAUCAGGAACACCGGUGGCGAAGGCGGCUCACUGGAUCUCUUCUGACGCUGAGGAACGAAAGCUAGGGGAGCGAACGGGAUUAGAUACCCUCGUAGUC
rnacentral:rRNA from 1 species